UUUAAAGUCUAAUCUGCCCUAUGAGGAGUUGAAUGGCCGCAGUAUUUUGACUGUGCGAAGGUAGCAUAAUAAUUAGUUUUUUAAUUGAAAGCUGGAAUGAAUGAUUGGACGAGAAAAAAUCUGUCUCAAUUUUAUUUAAUUAGAAUUUUAUUUUUAAGUAAAAAAGCUUAAAUAUUUUUAAAAGACGAGAAGACCCUAUAGAGUUUUAUAUAUUUAUUUUUAUUUAUUUUUUAGUAUUAUAGAAUUUAUAUUAUUAAAUAGUAUUUAGUUGGGGUGACUAAAAAAUUAAUUAAACUUUUUUUUUAUUAUUACAUUAAUAUAUGAUUAAUUGAUCCAUUUUUUAUGAUUAUAAGAUUAAAUUACCUUAGGGAUAACAGCGUUAUUUUUUUUUAGAGUUCUAAUCGAAAAAAAAGUUUGCGACCUCGAUGUUGGAUUAAAAUUAAUAUUUGGUGAAGAAGCUAAGUUAUUAGGUCUGUUCGACCUUUAAAAUUUUACA
rnacentral:rRNA from 1 species